CCGAUUCGUGCAGGAGCUGCCACAAACAGUAAUAAACCAGCGCUGUUAGAAAUGGAUCACUUAUCAGUGCGUGCCCAAGCCUCCUAAUGCCUCAUGAUGUUUAAUAAUUAAAUGGUGACACCUUGAACUUGCAGCGGACACCAUGAAUCACAGUGGAAUUCUCCAAAUGGAAUGCAGCCACACCUCAGCUUCUGUGCUGCAUGCUGCCACUGAGGACACUUAAUGCCACUGAAGAAGUCUAAUAGAGGCCGUAUUUCAAAAGCUCUAUGGUGGCUCGGUGUCUUCUCUGAGACUUCAGAAGUCCUUCAAGAGUGAGUUCCGUGUCCAGGAUGAAGAUGACGGCCUCUUGGCACCCAUCUCUUUGACACGCAUGUGGGGAAAUGUGAAUGGAAAUGAGGAACUGUCACUGGCACUCAGACGUUCACCGCUGCUGAAGCCAAGUCACACGGAAGUGCCUCCAGCUGUCCUUUCACACAUUCUUCUGAGGUUUCACUGCUUGUCCACACGAGACUCCGAUAAAAUGUGGCGUCUUACUGAAUAGACUGUCCUGUGGG